AUUGAACGCUGGCGGCAUGCUUUACACAUGCAAGUCGAACGGUAGAGGGGGCAACCCCUUGAGAGUGGCGAACGGGUGAGUAAUAUAUCGGAACGUGCCCAGUCGUGGGGAUAACGUAGCGAAAGUUACGCUAAUACCGCAUACGAUCUAAGGAUGAAAGCGGGGGAUCGCAAGACCUCGCGCGAUUGGAGCGGCCGAUAUCAGAUUAGGUAGUUGGUGAGGUAAAGGCUCACCAAGCCAACGAUCUGUAGCUGGUCUGAGAGGACGACCAGCCACACUGGAACUGAGACACGGUCCAGACUCCUACGGGAGGCAGCAGUGGGGAAUUUUGGACAAUGGACGCAAGUCUGAUCCAGCAAUGCCGCGUGCAGGAUGAAGGCCUCGGUUGUAAC
rnacentral:rRNA from 1 species